AGAGGGACUGCCGGCGACAAGUCGGAGGAAGGUGGGGAGUGACGUCAAAUCAUCAUGCCCCUUAUGACCUGGGCUACACACGUGCUACAAUGGGCGGUACAAAGGGCUGCGAACCCGCGAGGGGGAGCGAAUCCCAAAAAGCCGCUCUCAGUUCGGAUUGCAGGCUGCAACUCGCCUGCAUGAAGCCGGAAUCGCUAGUAAUCGCGGAUCAGCAUGCCGCGGUGAAUACGUUCCCGGGCCUU
rnacentral:rRNA from 1 species